rnacentral:rRNA from 1 species
AGGCGAAAAGAACCCCGGCGAGGGGAGUGAAAAAGAACCUGAAACCGUGUACGUACAAGCAGUGGGAGCCUCUUUAUGGGGUGACUGCGUACCUUUUGUAUAAUGGGUCAGCGACUUAUAUUCUGUAGCAAGGUUAACCGAAUAGGGGAGCCGAAGGGAAACCGAGUCUUAACUGGGCGUUAAGUUGCAGGGUAUAGACCCGAAACCCGGUGAUCUAGCCAUGGGCAGGUUGAAGGUUGGGUAACACUAACUGGAGGACCGAACCGACUAAUGUUGAAAAAUUAGCGGAUGACUUGUGGCUGGGGGUGAAAGGCCAAUCAAACCGGGAGAUAGCUGGUUCUCCCCGAAAGCUAUUUAGGUAGCGCCUCGUGAACUCAUCUCCGGGGGUAGAGCACUGUUUCGGCAAGGGGGUCAUCCCGACUUACCAACCCGAUGCAAACUGCGAAUACCGGAGAAUGUUAUCACGGGAGACACACGGCGGGGGCUAACGUCCGUCGUGAAGAGGGAAACAACCCAGACCGCCAGCUAAGGUCCCAAAGUCAUGGUUAAGUGGGAAACGAUGUGGGAAGGCCCAGACAGCCAGGAUGUUGGCUUAGAAGCAGCCAUCAUUUAAAGAAAGCGUAAUAGCUCACUGGUCGAGUCGGCCUGCGCGGAAGAUGUAACGGGGCUAAACCAUGCACCGAAGCUGCGGCAGCGACGCUGAUGCGUUGUUGGGUAGGGGAGCGUUCUGUAAGCCUGUGAAGGUGUGCUGUGAGGCAUGCUGGAGGUAUCAGAAGUGCGAAUGCUGACAUAAGUAACGAUAAAGCGGGUGAAAAGCCCGCUCGCCGGAAGACCAAGGGUUCCUGUCCAACGUUAAUCGGGGCAGGGUGAGUCGACCCCUAAGGCGAGGCCGAAAGGCGUAGUCGAUGGGAAACAGGUUAAUAUUCCUGUACUUGGUGUUACUGCGAAGGGGGGACGGAGAAGGCUAUGUUGGCCGGGCGACGGUUGUCCCGGUUUAAGCGUGUAGGCUGGUUUUCCAGGCAAAUCCGGAAAAUCAAGGCUGAGGCGUGAUGACGAGGCACUACGGUGCUGAAGCAACAAAUGCCCUGCUUCCAGGAAAAGCCUCUAAGCAUCAGGUAACAUCAAAUCGUACCCCAAACCGACACAGGUGGUCAGGUAGAGAAUACCAAGGCGCUUGAGAGAACUCGGGUGAAGGAACUAGGCAAAAUGGUGCCGUAACUUCGGGAGAAGGCACGCUGAUAUGUAGGUGAAGUCCCUCGCGGAUGGAGCUGAAAUCAGUCGAAGAUACCAGCUGGCUGCAACUGUUUAUUAAAAACACAGCACUGUGCAAACACGAAAGUGGACGUAUACGGUGUGACGCCUGCCCGGUGCCGGAAGGUUAAUUGAUGGGGUCAGCGCAAGCGAAGCUCUUGAUCGAAGCCCCGGUAAACGGCGGCCGUAACUAUAACGGUCCUAAGGUAGCGAAAUUCCUUGUCGGGUAAGUUCCGACCUGCACGAAUGGCGUAAUGAUGGCCAGGCUGUCUCCACCCGAGACUCAGUGAAAUUGAACUCGCUGUGAAGAUGCAGUGUACCCGCGGCAAGACGGAAAGACCCCGUGAACCUUUACUAUAGCUUGACACUGAACAUUGAGCCUUGAUGUGUAGGAUAGGUGGGAGGCUUAGAAGUGUGGACGCCAGUCUGCAUGGAGCCGACCUUGAAAUACCACCCUUUAAUGUUUGAUGUUCUAACGUUGACCCGUAAUCCGGGUUGCGGACAGUGUCUGGUGGGUAGUUUGACUGGGGCGGUCUCCUCCUAAAGAGUAACGGAGGAGCACGAAGGUUGGCUAAUCCUGGUCGGACAUCAGGAGGUUAGUGCAAUGGCAUAAGCCAGCUUGACUGCGAGCGUGACGGCGCGAGCAGGUGCGAAAGCAGGUCAUAGUGAUCCGGUGGUUCUGAAUGGAAGGGCCAUCGCUCAACGGAUAAAAGGUACUCCGGGGAUAACAGGCUGAUACCGCCCAAGAGUUCAUAUCGACGGCGGUGUUUGGCACCUCGAUGUCGGCUCAUCACAUCCUGGGGCUGAAGUAGGUCCCAAGGGUAUGGCUGUUCGCCAUUUAAAGUGGUACGCGAGCUGGGUUUAGAACGUCGUGAGACAGUUCGGUCCCUAUCUGCCGUGGGCGCUGGAGAACUGAGGGGGGCUGCUCCUAGUACGAGAGGACCGGAGUGGACGCAUCACUGGUGUUCGGGUUGUCAUGCCAAUGGCACUGCCCGGUAGCUAAAUGCGGAAGAGAUAAGUGCUGAAAGCAUCUAAGCACGAAACUUGCCCCGAGAUGAGUUCUCCCUGACUCCUUGAGAGUCCUGAAGGAACGUUGAAGACGACGACGUUGAUAGGCCGGGUGUGUAAGCGCAGCGAUGCGUUGAGCUAACCGGUACUAAUGAACCGUGAGGCUUAACCUUACAACGCCGAAG